GGUCUUGUGGUCUAGUGGUAUGAUUCUCGCUUAGGGUGCGAGAGGCCCCGCGUUCGAGUCGCGGCAAGACCC